AAUGAACGCUGGCGGCAGGCCUAACACAUGCAAGUCGAACGGAUCCUUCGGGAUUCGUGGCGGACGGGUGAGUAACGCGUGGGAACAUACCCUUUGGUACGGAAUAGCCUCGGGAAACUGGAAGUAAUACCGUAUGUGGUCGAGAGACCAAAGAUUUAUCGCCAAAGGAUUGGCCCGCGUUGGAUUAGGUAGUUGGUGGGGUAAUGGCCUACCAAGCCGACGAUCCAUCGCUGGUUUGAGACGAUGAUCAGCCACACUGAGCCUGAGACACGGACCAGACUCCUGCGGGAGGAAGCAGUGGGGAAUCUUAGACGAUGGGGGAAACCCUGAUCUAGCCAUGACGCGUGAUCGAUGAAGGCCUUAGGGUUGUAAAGAUCUUUCAGGUGGGAAGAUACUGACUGUACCACCAGAAGAAGCCCCGGCUAACUCCGUGCCAGCCGCCGCAGUAA
rnacentral:rRNA from 1 species